ACGUACUUCCGGUCGCCCUCCCUGAGCGGUUCUGAUGGAGGCCACGGGCUCAUAUGAUGUGAGGGUGACUCAGAAUAUUCUCAAGGAACAGCCUCUUUCUGCCUCUUUGCAGAGAAGGGGUGAAAUAGGAGCUUGUUUCACCUGCAGAGAAUGGCUUGCAGAUGAGGUGAACUGCAAGCCAGCAUGUGAGGGUGUGGCUAGCCCCGCACAGCUGAGAUGCACACAGGAGGAAGCCUCUGAUGCUUUGUGAAGACAAAAGCUUCCUGCUUAGGCCCAGCUGCCCAUCAUGGUUGCCAGGCUGGCAGAUCUCCAUGGUGACCAUAGAAACACAUCUGUUCCCUCACAGCACCCAGGGCGGGGCCUGCUCCAAAGCCACAAUGCCUGGACCUAGAGCCUUCUCAGGGUGAACACACGCCCACCUGACCUUCACAUUCCCCACCCCCCAGGGACCUCCCCUGGUGGGGUCCCCCCUGCCAGAGUGGGGACAAGAAGACCAGGAAGUGUCUGGUUUUCCUUGGAGGUGGACAGCUUGGAAGAUGGGACAGAGAUGGGGCUGGAUGCAGCAUGGACCCUCUGGAACCCCCAUGCCAUCAAAUGUGCCACAGCCCUAGGGCUCCUGAGAGUCUGCACAUGCCCGUCCCUGGAUACGUCACAUGCCUAUCUGUAGGGUUUUCUGACUUUUCCUGGACUGCUCAGACAUCACAGCACUCAGUGCCCAGGGCACCACUCUGUGAGCCCCAAGGCUGGCUGGCUGGAUGCCCACCUCUGUCCAGUCCUCUCCCUCCACGAACGAAGUUGAACGUGACGGAAUAAAGAAAAACUUCAGCAGACCAAAAGCCAGAUGCACAAAUCAAGCAGGAACACCGAGACCCUUGAAGAGGACAUGAACUGGCCCAGACAUCAAGAUUGAGGGAAGAACAGCUCCUACCUCCUGGCUGCUUGUAAGGACUGACUGACACCAUCCACGGAGAGAGCAGGUCACGGCACAUCGAAGUCCCAGAGAAGAGUCAGCUGUGGUCACACUGACACAACGGUGUUUUUCUGCUGUUACAGCAACUGCAUUCCCAUUUCACAGACUGGAACAGAGCCUUUGGGCUGGAGGAAUAAGGAGGCAACCCACAAGAGACCUGACUGCAAGCUAGGAGCACUAGAGUGGCAGAUGCCGGGUCCGGGCACCAUGCUGGUGCCAAGAACAUGAAGGCCAGCGGAGCCUGGUCCAUGUCCUUCAGGUGCUCAUGAUGCAGAGAGCAAGGCAGAUGGUGAAAAAGAGCCGAAGCCCCAGUGCUGGACGCUCCUGGUCCAGGCUCUGUGGAGAGCAUUCAUACGUCUGAUGCCCACACCUACCCCAGAAACAGGAACCACCACACUGAUCCAACUGGAGUGUUAGAAGCAUAUGGGGAGCCAAGAACACAGAGUGUUGAAGACAAAGAAGGAGGUGGAAUUUUAUUUUAGAUAGAACACCCCCUCACCUCGAGGCUAUUAGAGGGUGCCUGGCAGAGCUCAGAAAAUUCUGGGCAUUAAGACCAGGACUUUGCCUGAAGAGUAUCUUCAUAGGCUCAAAGAAGGGGAAUGUGAGUAGCUCACUCCUGUCACUGCUGCCUUGAAUCCUUCACAUGGCUGUCACCCAGGCUGCUGAGCCACUCGCCUGCAGGAGGACAUUGGGUCAUUUCCAUGUUUUCGCAAUUAUGGAGAUUUAUUAGCAGCUAUAAACAUAUACCCAACAGGUUUUGGUGUGAACACAAGUCCUCGGAGCCACCUUGGCUCGGCUGACGUGGAUUGGGCUCUGCCAGGUUUAGUGCAGACUGGAGCUUGGAUGCAGAUCUGGUCCGUGAGGGUGUCUCCUGGGUCUGAUGAGGGGGCAUUGGCUGCCUGGGCACUGUCUUCUCAUGACUAAUCCAUGGAGCAAGGUCAAGACAAGCUACAGGACACAUAAAACUAUUUUGCUCAUCGUGUCCACUGAUAUUCAACUGGCCAACGCAAGUCGCAUGGCCAAACCCACAAGGGGGGAGGGAAACACUCACCCUUCAUCAUGUGAGGGCAGAGAAUGACUAUUUGAACAAUAAUACAAUCAUUGGAUGACCCAAUGGAUGCUCGUAAAUGAAUGAAUGAAUGACCGAAUCUGAAAUACCCUUCUGAGGGGACAAGAAAUGACAGUGGCGGAGAACGCCCACCCACCCACAGCCAUCUGCCGGCAGCUUGAGGCUCAGUGACAACAAGAACAACAAAACAAUUGACCUGGGGGCUUCUAGCCUUUCGGGGAUGGGAGGUGGGAGAUCAUCAUCCCCACCGCCACCAGCAGGUGGAUCCAUACACAUUUUAACUUCCAUUUCAGCUUAAAUCGCAGCUGCUGCUGUUGCCAGGGGAUGCCUAUCUUUCCACAUGUUAUUGUAGAUCAGUUGCCUGCCGUUGCAAUAAAGAACUCUCAAUGGGUUGUCUGGAAAUUCUAAAUCAGGCUGCAGAGAGGCUGGUGGAUAAACCAGGCAGGCUCCCCAUCAAGGGUGAUUGAUGCCAGAUUCAAGCAGGCAAUCAUGGGGUGCUGGCUUCUAGCAACCAGCCCCUACCACAUAUAUCAGCUCAGGGAGGACAUUAGCUUCCCCGCGGGUGAGGGCAGUGGGAGGUGCUGCUGGGCAACAGGAAGGAUGGAAGGUGGCUGUAGAGGACUCCCUGGAUCAUUUGGCGUCCAUGGAAAAGCCCUUGCCAGCUUGCUUUCUGUCUUUUUGGAUCCCAGCUGUGUCCUUCCCCUGAAACAAUGGAGGGAACAGAGAGAUGGUCAGGUACCAAGUGGAGCAUCAUCAAAUUGGAGUAGCCAGAACCCUGGGAAGACUUUCUAAGGGUUCAUAGGCACAAGUUAUAAGAGAAGCAAUUUUGAGAGCUUUAACUGAUAUAAGUUCUAUUUGCCACAUCCUCCCUCACCAAUGUCCUUCUUCCACUGCAUAAAAAAUAAGUUUAUCAGACUUAUGCCGACCUAAAACAGAAAGUGCACUCAAGAUGGGUGAUUCAAAGAGAAUUUAAUAGAGGAAAUGUUCAUAAAUUUGUACGUGGGAUAAAGAAAACCACAAAGGAUAAUGCAGGAGGGAAAGGGAAAGGAGAGAGAGAGAUUUCCAGAACCGGGAGACAUGGGCAACCGUGAGGAAUGUGGGUUCCUGGAGAAGAUGCAGCCACCCUGGGCCACUGGCAGGUGGGGGCAUCUCCCCGCUGCCUGCUCCCUAUUGGCCUUACCCAACUGGAAACCAAGAGGGAGCCUAUUGACUGGUCAGCGGCUGGCAGGAGGAGGGCAGAGAGUAGGAGUCUGUCUACUCAGGAGACAUCACCUGUCUGGAAUCUUACAAAGGAGGCUGAGUUCAUAACCCCAAAGGCACAAUCACAGAUUUCAGACUUUCAGGAUUUAGUCUUUCGAGAUUCCGCUGUUAGGGGUCGGGUCUUGCAGGAUUAUGAGGGGUGCUGAAACCUGAGUACUGUGUUCAAAUUCUAGAACUAGCUCAAGGAGAGAGUGCUUUCUUUUCCUCCAUUGCUCCUUUCCUGCUUCCUGCUGGCUGGAAUGCGGACUCCGGUGUCUGCUCUGGCACAGGCCCGUGCAGACGCCAGGGGCCGUGAGUGAGCUGUGAGUGUGCAGAGACACAAGACAGAGGGGACAGGACCCUUGAUGUCUCCGGAGCUACUGUGUUAGCCCUGGACUGUCCACAGUGACAUGAGACAGAAAUGCAUUUUUAUCUGUCUAAGACACUGCCCAUUUAAGGAGAAUUUCCGAGAAGAAUGAAAUCGCAAAUCUCGUCACAGUGGGUGCCCCUGAGCUGGAAAGCUGGGGGGUGUUCAGAAGGUAAUAACAGGCAGUUCCCAUGAACACAGCAACUCUGAUGAGAACCAUUGUAUAAAACUCAGGUAAUGCCAACGUUCUGAGAAGGGCGGACACUCAGUGGACCGGCUGGGACAGUCUGGCCAUGGGAGGUGGACCCUGAGACUAGAGGAUGAAGGAGAGGGGAGCAAAGAGAACAUGCCUCCCUUUCAAGGCUUGGAAAGGGGAGUCCACAUUCCUGCCCAGCGAGAAGGGGAGACCAGACGACAGGAGUGACAGUCCCCGAUCAACGCCGAUGAGAAUGUCCAGGCAAUUAAGGUGACUUGGCAUGGUCAGCACGUGGUCAGCCUGCAAUGAAAUCCCGAAGGAAUGUCUGCAUGACUAACACCCAGGGACAAAGGAGGAGCAGUGCAGUGUCUCAGACGAGGGCCUGAAAACACCGUCCCUGAUCACAGACUUGUGAUAUGGGGCUGUGGGCAUGGUGCCGCUUGAAAGGUAUUGCGUGGCCACUGCUUGAUCUGACUUCGAAUGAGAGCAUUCCAGCCUCGCUACGCCAAUUAUUCUUUCUCAGCUGCUCUGGCAACUUUUUCCACAUACUUCAAUCCGGUUCCUCUCUCCUUCAAGCCUGAGGUUAAUCUCCAUCCCUCUGGGACAUCCAUUGUGAUCACCUCCGUCCCCAGCAAUCUUUCCUCCUCUGACAGCAGGUAAUUACCUUGCCUUGAAUGCCGGAUGCUGCCCUGUGACAGCUGUCCUGUGACAUCCUGUAUGGAUUUUAGCUUUUUCCAUUCCUUGUUUUGCAGCCUGCAGUGGGCAAACCGGGGUCCAACCCCAGUUCAAUUCUACAGACUCAUGUUCUAGCAUCUCCCCCAGUUUGAAGAAUUCUGUUUCUAUUCCCACAUUUUUAAGCUCUCAUCUAUAUUUUUUAUUAUAG